rnacentral:rRNA from 1 species
AUUGAACGCUGGCGGCAGGCCUAACACAUGCAAGUCGAGCGGAGCGGCGGACGGGUGAGUAAUGCCUAGGAAUCUGCCUGGUAGUGGGGGAUAACGUCCGGAAACGGGCGCUAAUACCGCAUCGUACUAGAUGACCCUAGUUCGGAUUAGCUAGUUGGUGGGGCAAAGGCUUACCAAGGCGACUAUCCGUAACUGGUCUGAGAGGGUGAUCGGUCACACUGGAACUGAGACACGGUCCAGACUCCUACGGGAGGCAGCAGUGGGGAAUAUUGGGCAAUGGGCGAAAGCCUGAUCCAGCCAUGCCGCGUGUGUGAAGAAGGUCUUCGGAUUGUAAAGCACUUUAAGUUGGGAGGCGUUACCAACAGAAUAAGUACCGGCUAACUACGUGCCAGCCGCCGCGGUAAUUC